rnacentral:rRNA from 1 species
AACGAACGCUGGCGGCGUGCCUAACACAUGCAAGUCGUGCGAGAAAGUUCCUUCGGGAGCGAGUAAAGCGGCGCACGGGUGAGUAACACGUAGGUAACCUGCCCCCCAGUCUGGAACAACUAGAGGAAACUCUAGCUAAUGCCGGAUGAGACCACGAUCCCUUCGGGGGUUGCGGCCAAAGAUGGCCUCUACUUGUAAGCUAUCGCUGAGGGAUGGGCCUGCGGGCCAUUAGCUUGUUGGUGAGGUAACGGCUCACCAAGGCUGUGAUGGCUAGCUGGUCUGAGAGGAUGACCAGCCACACUGGGACUGAGACACGGCCAGACUCCUACGGGAGGCAGCAGUGGGGAAUUUUGCGCAAUGGACGAAAGUCUGACGCAGCAACGCCGCGUGGGUGAUGAAGGUCUUCGGGAUUGUAAAACCCUGUCGUCGAGGACGAAGGUGGGGGCGUUAAUAGCGUCUCUGCUUGACGGUACUCGGAGAGGAAGCCCCGGCU